CGUGGAGCGAUUUGUCUGGUUUAUUCCGAUAACGAGCGAGACUCUAGCUUACUAAAUAGUCUGGUCUUUAUUACUGAGGCCUGACUUCUUAGAGGGAUUUUCGGUGUUCAGCCGCACGAGAUUGAGCAAUAACAGGUCUGUGAUGCCCUUAGAUGUCCGGGGCUGCACGCGCGCUACACUGGCGAAAUCAGCGUGCUUUUCCUAUCUCGAAAGAGAUUGGUAAACCGAUGAAAAUUUGCCGUGAUUGGGAUCGGAAAUUGCAAUUAUUUUCCGUGAACGAGGAAUUCCAAGUAAGUGCGAGUCAUCAACUCGCGUUGAAUACGUCCCUGCCCUUUGUAC
rnacentral:rRNA from 1 species